AAACCAUGGUGUGGGCAACAUCUUAGUAAGUCCUUGUACCUCUCCCACGCAUCAUACAUGCUCUCAUCAUCAAAUUACAUAAAAGGAGAAAUAUCAUUACGCAUCUU
rfam:Ricinus communis cultivar Hale ctg_1100012358962, whole genome shotgun sequence.